GCCCACCACUGCUGAAACUUUUGGCCACACAAACCAGUUUAUGUCACGAGUCUGUAAUGUGUUCAGGUCUCAAGCUUAGAAGCGAAGCCGGCAGGGCUGAGAAAAGGAAUGAUCGGUUUCAGUGAUUCACAAACAUCGAGGGUACGAAAGACUCUGAAGGCCAUACACACUUUGGAAAACAAGCUGCAAAGGGCUUCCACCCUCCUCAAUGAGCAGUUGAACAAAAACUCCCACCUGGAGGAAGAGUUGGACUUUCUUAAAACUGAGAAAACUCACUUUCAACAACUGCACCUGAAGCUAAAAAAGGAGCUGAAGGAAGUUCACAAGAACAUCAGAGAAAAACAAAUCCAG